UACGUAGGGACCGAGCGUUGUCCGGAUUCAUUGGGCGUAAAGAGCUCGUAAGCGGCUGCUCAAGUCGAAUGUGAAAACUCGAGGCUCAACCUCGAGCCUGCAUUCGAUACUGGGCGGCUAGAGUCUGGUAGGGGGAUCUGGAAUUCCUGGUGUAGCGGUGGAAUGCGCAGAUAUCAGGAGGAACACCGAUGGCGAAGGCAGCCUUCUGGGCCAACACUGACGCUCAUGCACGAAAGCGUGGGGAGCAAACAGG
rnacentral:rRNA from 1 species